CAGCGAGUUGGAAGGAAACUCUUGGGCCUCACGCAUAGCUAUGCCUUUCAAACGCUGCCUAUUCGUGGGCUUUGGUGUGCUCUGCGUGCCACCAGAAGAGAGCGUGACACUGGAAAAUGAGGAGCUCGAGAUCCCAAGGCUCCAAGGAGUGUAGCCACCUUGUCUGUCAGAGCCAAGGGGUCUUGGAAGGAAGAGUCUCCAUUGUCCCUCUACCUCUGCUUUUCUUCAAAGAGACGGCACUGUCUCGCUCCCAUUAUCAGAGCGAGAGGAGGUUCUUUUAUUCUAUGUACACCUGACAGAGAGCUUAAGACACCACGGGUUAAAUGUUAGCCCGUCCGCUUUAUUACAAACCCAAGUUGUUUAGGGAGAUGGGGAAGGGAAGACGGGCGAUAGAAAAUAUAGCAAAUAAAAGCAAGCUGUCUUUGUAGGAAGCAAGAGAGAGACAGUCACCACCACAGGUCCAGCGUGGUUCGUAGCUCAGACGUCGAUCUUCAGUAGUGAUGGGUCAUCAGGGGUCGUUGUUCAGUUGACGACAACGGUCAGCUCUCUUUGGAGUGGCGGCUUGUGGCUUUGGGAUCUCAGCAGAAACUCCUUUGUCCCCAUCUCCCGCGCCUUGCCAGCAGAUAGGAGGGAGCAGGGAGGUGUCCACCUGCAUCCUGUUUUUCGCAGGAUACGAUGGCGUUGUUCCCUCAGUUCUCCUAUACCAAGCUGGAGUUUUUGGUCACAGCCCACACCUUCCUCAAGUAAACACUCCUCAGCACUCUUUUCCAAAGGCAAAGAGCUGCAAAGAAAUGCUUUCAAAUGUAAAAUUGUCCACCAAGUGAUGCUGAUUGCCACACCCACCUGUCAUCUCCUAGCCAAGUCAGAGUCUUAUGGCAAGAAGUGCCUCCGAAAGCAAACUUGGAGCCAAAACCAAAGAAGGGUGCAGACAGGCCCCCAGGAAUGGCACAGAGAGGAAUCGCACACCUGUUUGGCAGCCUCAGGUGGAGCUCUGCUUCUCCUGGGCACCCCAUGCCCUGGUCAGCGUGGACAGGACAUCCCCCGCCUGGGGAGCCCCGCUUUGGUCUUUGGUGGCUGACUCUGCAGAGAUCUGGUCCUCCUGUGCGUCAGUGGCACCGCAGCAGAGGCGCUGUAGGUGCGCUCCUCGGGCAGGCUGGUCUCAGAGCUCGAGGACCAUAGGGCUGCCAGUGGUGUUUGUUGCAGGGCUGGGGCUCCACGGUGCUUUCUGAGCUUGGCCUGUGCCUUUUGCGGCACUCCUCCUCCAGCGGGGGCUUUCACCGCGCCGCGUUCUUCUUCUUUGCCACUUGGAGGUUGCGCUGCCUCUGCUGGAGCCAUCUCUGCCGCCUUGCUUUUGGUAGAGCAUUUUCCCUUCUUUUUUUUCUGAGGCUGCUUUUUGGCAGAAGACGCCCCCGGGACCGCUGGCAGCUGACUGAAAGGACACAGUGGGAGGGGUCUGCCUGAGUGGGUGAUGGCUUUGGGGCCGUAUAAUGCAACCCCGAGCCAGGACCCUGGGCUGCAACGCAGCCUUCCCCACGCGCAGCUCUCGGGGCGCGCUGGCGUUCUC
ensembl:lncRNA